rnacentral:misc_RNA from 1 species
UUCUAUCAUAUGGUAGGGAAGGCUAUGAUAUAGCUCUCCAAUUUGAUUUCCAUACAAUUCCUUGAUAAGCCGUACCUACAGAAUAAUAGGUAAAUAAAGAAGGUAAGAUAUAGUAAAUUAGAGCAUUUUACUAAAUCAUAAGUUUUGUACACUGGAAGGUAGCUGUAAGCUGUAGUACAAAAUACUUUGGCAAUGCUAGAGCUGGAAGAACAAAUCAUUACCUCAACAAUUUCCAACAACCACGAUGUACAUUUAUGUUAUGUUUCCAUCUCAUAUUGGAAACUAACAAAUCAAAUCCCAACUUCAACAGGUAUGCUUUUUUUUUUUGGCAAUUGAAUCAAGAGAAUAAAAAAGGAGAAUGGAAAAUGAGAAUUGCUAGAUCAAAAGGAGUGUGCAUUAUAAUGUAUCAAUUCUAUUGUUUGUGCAGCCUUUUAUGGCAGAUAUUGGAGCACAUGUUCAUUUCUUCCAUAUUUUCAGAGAGAGAGAGAAAG